UAUUGCCAGGUGUAGUGGUUUAUCACAUCUCCUUUACAAAGUGUCUCCCCUUUGGAGCGGAGAAGGCCAUGGGUUCGAUCCCCAUAGGAACUA